rnacentral:rRNA from 1 species
AUGGAAGCUUGUAAACUUAGUGGCGGACGGGUGAGUAACACGUGAGCAACCUGCCUAUCAGAGGGGGAUAACGAUUGGAAACGAUCGCUAAUACCGCAUGACAUAGCGGAACCGCAUGGUUUUGCUAUCAAAGAUUUUAUCGCUGAUAGAUGGCCUCGCGUCUGAUUAGCUAGUUGGUGAGGUAACGGCCCACCAAGGCGACGAUCAGUAGCCGGACUGAGAGGUUGACCGGCCACAUUGGGACUGAGAUACGGCCCAGACUCC